GCCCAGGUAGCUCAGUUGGUAGAGCAGCGGAUUGAAAAUCCGCGUGUCACUGGUUCGAUUCCGGUCCUGGGCACCA
rnacentral:tRNA from 124 species